UAGGGAAUCUUGGACAAUGGGCGAAAGCCUGAUCCAGCCAUGCCGCGUGAGUGAUGAAGGCCUUAGGGUUGUAAAGCUCUUUCGCCAGGGAAGAUAAUGACGGUACCUGGAUAAGAAGCCCCGGCUAACUUCGUGCCAGCAGCCGCGGUAAUACGAAGGGGGCUAGCGUUGUUCGGAAUUACUGGGCGUAAAGCGCACGUAGGCGGUUUUCCAAGUUGGAGGUGAAAUCCCUGGGCUCAACCCGGGAACUGCCUCCAAAACUGGAUGACUCGAGUCCGAGAGAGGUGAGUGGAAUUUCCAGUGUAGAGGUGAAAUUCGUAGAUAUUGGAAAGAACACCAGUGGCGAAGGCGGCUCACUGGCUCGGUACUGACGCUGAGGUGCGACAGCGUGGGGAGCAAA
rnacentral:rRNA from 1 species